rnacentral:rRNA from 1 species
AUGCAGUAGAACGCUGAAGAGAGGAGCUUGCUCUUCUUGGAUGAGUUGCGAACGGGUGAGUAACGCGUAGGUAACCUGCCUUGUAGCGGGGGAUAACUAUUGGAAACGAUAGCUAAUACCGCAUAACAAUGGAUGACACAUGUCAUUUAUUUGAAAGGGGCAAUUGCUCCACUACAAGAUGGACCUGCGUUGUAUUAGCUAGUAGGUGAGGUAAUGGCUCACCUAGGCGACGAUACAUAGCCGACCUGAGAGGGUGAUCGGCCACACUGGGACUGAGACACGGCCCAGACUCCUACGGGAGGCAGCAGUAGGGAAUCUUCGGCAAUGGGGGCAACCCUGACCGAGCAACGCCGCGUGAGUGAAGAAGGUUUUCGGAUCGUAAAGCUCUGUUGUAAGUCAAGAACGGGUGUGAGAGUGGAAAGUUCACACUGUGACGGUAGCUUACCAGAAAGGGACGGCUAACUACGUGCCAGCAGCCGCGGUAAUACGUAGGUCCCGAGCGUUGUCCGGAUUUAUUGGGCGUAAAGCGAGCGCAGGCGGUUUGAUAAGUCUGAAGUUAAAGGCUGUGGCUCAACCAUAGUUCGCUUUGGAAACUGUCAAACUUGAGUGCAGAAGGGGAGAGUGGAAUUCCAUGUGUAGCGGUGAAAUGCGUAGAUAUAUGGAGGAACACCGGUGGCGAAAGCGGCUCUCUGGUCUGUAACUGACGCUGAGGCUCGAAAGCGUGGGGAGCGAACAGGAUUAGAUACCCUGGUAGUCCACGCCGUAAACGAUGAGUGCUAGGUGUUGGAUCCUUUCCGGGAUUCAGUGCCGCAGCUAACGCAUUAAGCACUCCGCCUGGGGAGUACGACCGCAAGGUUGAAACUCAAAGGAAUUGACGGGGGCCCGCACAAGCGGUGGAGCAUGUGGUUUAAUUCGAAGCAACGCGAAGAACCUUACCAGGUCUUGACAUCCCGAUGCUAUUUCUAGAGAUAGAAAGUUACUUCGGUACAUCGGUGACAGGUGGUGCAUGGUUGUCGUCAGCUCGUGUCGUGAGAUGUUGGGUUAAGUCCCGCAACGAGCGCAACCCCUAUUGUUAGUUGCCAUCAUUCAGUUGGGCACUCUAGCGAGACUGCCGGUAAUAAACCGGAGGAAGGUGGGGAUGACGUCAAAUCAUCAUGCCCCUUAUGACCUGGGCUACACACGUGCUACAAUGGUUGGUACAACGAGUUGCGAGUCGGUGACGGCGAGCUAAUCUCUUAAAGCCAAUCUCAGUUCGGAUUGUAGGCUGCAACUCGCCUACAUGAAGUCGGAAUCGCUAGUAAUCGCGGAUCAGCACGCCGCGGUGAAUACGUUCCCGGGCCUUGUACACACCGCCCGUCACACCACGAGAGUUUGUAACACCCGAAGUCGGUGAGGUAACCUUGGAGCCAGCCGC